CUCGCGAUUGCUGCGGAUGCCCUAAGUGUUCUCCAGAACCUCCUCUACCCGGAUCGGAACGAAUAUCGCAACCGGACCGACUACUGUCAAACUAUUAGUUGUCAGUUUGAAUCUAUCCGGUUUCCCUUCGAAUUCUAUUGGAUUUUCCUGACCAUUUCUCCGCUGCCACAAUGACAGAUAUCGAAAUCGAUCAGUUUAGUUUUCGAUUCGAAUUCUGUCAGUUUGUCUUGAGGGACAAUCGUUUGAAAAACGAUCGGUUUUGUUUGUCGCACACGCAGCGUGCAAUUAGGAAAAAAAAUUCAACUGAAACAGUCAGGAAACAACGGUGCGGAGGCCAAAUCACAAGGGUUAGUUCCUGCCGGACGUGUCUUCAAUUUUAUCGAGGAGUCGACAUGCAAGGGAGCAAUCCAUUUCUAAAACAGCUGGAGGACUUUACUUGAACAGGAUUCGCGGCAAGCGUUCCAGGAGGUCCUACGAAGCUAUUAACAAUAUUUGCAUUCCGUCAAUCAACAGAGUACCGAUCAGCAAAAUAUCAUUGCUUUCUCCUAUCAAUUGUCGAAUUUAAUAUCAGGGAGUGUAAUUGUCAGAGCUAAUGGGGUACAGAUCCCAGGAACACAGCGAGACCACCGUGCCUUUGGAUCAUGUUUACGAAGAUGCUCGCCUCGAUCAACUCUUUUGCCUACGGUGGUAAUCCGAUUCACAACGGACAAGCAACGACUGUGGUUUAUGUAGCUCUCCAGCUAUGUUUUACUCUGAGCCGAAACUACCUUCUGACGGAGCAGACGCAAUGUGUGGCUACCUAUGAACAUUUACACCACAUGAAUGAGGACAUUGCUCAGGACUUUCUGACGGACACGAUGCGAGGAAUCAUUUCCAAGAAUCAGUCCAUCAUCGAGAUGAUUUCUUCGUUGUCCAAUCUUCAGGCAGAAAUAACAACCCUCGGAGAAAUGUUAAGCGAGCUAAACCAGUACAUGCAGUGCGUCGUGAUGAGUAUUCCUUCGGCCUGAAACGGAAGGUUUACUCCCUGGGAGAGUGGUAUCAACUGCAGGCGGUUUCUAUUUUAAACUGCACUCCCUGUUUCGUGAACUGUUGAGCAAACAUGCCGGUAUGAUGCAGAUGAUUUACGACGAGGCGCAAUCAUAUCGGAAUAAUCGACACGUGAAAGUUUUUUUUACCUGUUGAGCCAUUACGAUAUCAACAUACAAUCGAUGGCAUCCCGGAAUUGGCAGCGUGCUGCCUUCGAUGCGUUCGCGACUCAGGUGCUGCCUAACUUCGCGUUUGCCUUCGAUGGCAACAGCCGAUGCCUAUUCAGUCCAUCGGGUUCCGGCAGAUUACCAUAAGCAGGAUGUUAAGGUUUCCAACGGGGGUCGGGAAGUAACCUUCACAGUUGAGUUGGAGAAAGCGGGAUUGAUUUGGGAUCCCUCAAAAACUAUCCUCAAAACAAAAAUUUGGAUAAAACAAUGGCCACCAUCCAAUGUCUAGAUGUUGUGCUUGCUACAGCCUACGAGAAGAACAACUAUUUCGUAAAAUUCAAACGAACAGUUUACAUGAUUCCGAAAUCAUUCGCUCUGGUACGAACUGUUCCAAUAUUCCAUUCUUGGAUCCGUACUUAUUUGGACAUUGAUGUGUCGCAAAAAGCUUUCCCCAGUGGAGGUGGAAUAUUGAAAAUUCUAGGUGAUCUGACUUGAAUCAACAAUCUAAAUGACCCACUUCAACAUUGGGCGAAACUAAAACUCAACAAUCAUCUGAAAUGCUUGGAGAUCUUGUAUCAAGGACCGGAUGGAAUUCAAAAACUAACCGCCUUCGGGGUCAGGCCAAUCAGCAGAAUUUCAAAAAUCAAGAUGGCACGGAGACGACGGUGGCACAAUAUUUCCAACAAAGAGGAAAGCUUUUGCGAUAUCGCAAUUUUCCGAUAAUGCACGUUGAUAGCAGCGUCAAGAAUGUGAUGCUCCCAAUGAAGCAGUGGCCUGAUCCAAGAUGCCAAGCGCGCUCAGUAAAAAAACAUCCAGAUAGAUGUACACAAUUCAUCAUUAAAAAAUCCGCAACGGACAUUGGAAAAAUAAUGGAAAUUUUUGAUCAAAUCGAAUACAAUUAAUCGGAAACUGUCAACGAGUUUGGUUUGAAGGUUGGGACUAAUUUCGAAACAAUUGAUGGUUGGAUUAUUCAUCCUCUUGGGCUAAUGGACGCCAACAAAAGUGUGGUCAAACCGAGGCGUAUAGAGAGGGAAUGAAUAAAAUCAUGGUCCUAAGUACAGAUAUUACAAAAAAGAACCGGCCAUUCUGAAUUAAGAUCAACGAACAUCGCUAUAUCAGGAACAGGAAUUUGGUAACUGUAUUUUCCAAAUGACCGGCAAGCAAGGAAUUUCCAUGUCACCAUUCAAUAUGAAAACACAUUACAAACAACCGAAUGGAGACCAACGCAAUGGACGAGAGAUCGGACGCUUGACCUAACACUUGAGGAUGUCAAAAAAGAAAAAUUGGAUCUAGUUUUCGUUAUUGUUCCGAAUAUAUGCCAGAGCUAAGCAGAAGCAGAAUUAAGUCUGGGCAUUCUAACACAAUGCAUUAAAUCGAAUACAAUAUUUAGGAUGCAAACGGAUGCUAGCAGCAUCGCCAAUAUUUGGCUCAAGAUCAGCGUCAAAACAAAUGGCAGCAAUCACGUCAUUGCACCUGGAAACAAACCUCCAAUGAUCUCUCCAAAAGUAAUGUUCAUUGGAGCUGACCUUUCACAUCCAUCGCCGGACCAGUCAAAUAUAUAUAUAUCAAGUGUCGUUGGUGUAGCAGCCAGCUACGAUCUGGAAUGAUCUGCAAUCUAGAACACAUAGUCGAGCCGUCGAGCGUCAGCUGCGUCAGUUCCAUAAAUGCAUUGCCUGAGUUCCUAAUGUACUCUCGGGGUGGGGUUUCCGACACGGAUAAUUCAGAGAAGUACUAUGCAGUAAACUGAGGGUCAUUCAGGCGGCUUUCGUAAGUUUGGCCAAAAGUACGCACCGAAAAUCACCUUCAUAGUGGUCCAGAAACGACAUCAUACACGAUUUCUCCCGGCCGACAGAUGCCCAACCGAGGUACGAAUCCAAAAUUCAGAAAAAGCAGGAAGUUACGUUCAGUCAUGCUGGUGGUCAGGUGAACGAAUCGGAAGAAGCCGCCACAAUCACUCCCUCAUCAUUGUCGAAUACGAGAAUUCCGGUCGGAUUUACCUUGCCUGAAUCAUCGACGUGGCAUAGAAGUUGUCCUGUUGACGAUCACCGUUUUUUUUUCCUAUGUGAGGAACGUCGCUGAGAAAGGGAAGCCCAUCGACCUCAAGCUCUCAUUCAUGGAUCUCUUGAAAGUGAGCUCGUUCGUGAAGAUCCUUUCGCUACAGGAAUCCGACCUCGGGAUCAUCAGCGCCAACGUCUUCGAAGGAACGAACCUCGUCGAUACGCUAAACAAACUAGCAAGAAUGAUGCAAUCCAACAUCACCCACUGGCACCACAUCAGGACGCUCAUAUCCCGCAAUUCAUGGACAUAAUUAUUGUUUUCAAAUAAAGAUACAAAGUGAAA